UACGUAGGGUGCAAGCGUUGUCCGGAAUUAUUGGGCGUAAAGAGCUCGUAGGCGGUCUGUUACGUCUGCUGUGAAAACCCGGGGCUUAACCCUGGGCUUGCAGUGGAUACGGGCAGACUAGAGGCAGGUAGGGGAGAAUGGAAUUCCCGGUGUAGCGGUGAAAUGCGCAGAUAUCGGGAGGAACACCGGUGGCGAAGGCGGUUCUCUGGGCCUGACCUGACGCUGAGGAGCGAAAGCGUGGAGAGCGAACAGG
rnacentral:rRNA from 1 species